CAGUAGCCGCGGGAAUACAGAGGAUGCAAGCGUUAUCCGGAAUGAUUGGGCGUAAAGCGUCUGUAGGUGGCUUUUCAAGUCCGCCGUCAAAUCCCAGGGCUCAACCCUGGACAGGCGGUGGAAACUACCAAGCUGGAGUACGGUAGGGGCAGAGGGAAUUUCCAGUGGAGCGGUGAAAUGCGUUGAGAUCGAAAAGAACACCAACAGCGAAAGCACUCUGCUGGGACGACACUGACACUAAGAGACGAAAGCUAGGGGAGCAAAUGGGAUUAGAUACCCCUGUAGUCCCUGUCUCUUAUAC
rnacentral:rRNA from 1 species